AUGACAGAUAAGACUAAAAAAAGUUUUGCCUCCCAAGACCAUAUUCCCCCUUAUUCCGUAUCUUCCCUCUGGCCUGACCCUGCUGAUCCUGAACCCUGGCUUCACCUGUCUAUUCCUCCGCCCCAGACUGACCCCCCUAAAUCUAUAUUUGAAUCUUACCACCCUGCAUUUCUGAACUGGCCUUAUCCUCCUCUGCACCCUCUACUCCAUCCCAACUAUCCAUCCUUCCCUCGUGUCCCUUCGCACCAGACCAAAGCCCCAGGUCCUGCAUCUGGAUCUCACCCUCCUCCUAGUGCCCUGCCCACAUCUGACUCUGCUUCUCCUCUCCCGGACCCUCCUCCCGGACCAGUGUUUGAGCCUUUCCCUCCUCCUGCUCCUCCUUACUUGCCCCACCCUCCUUCUGAUCCUGCACCCCAACCUGGCCCUGCUCCUGCCCCUCCAGCUUCCCGUCGUGGGCUUCCACAAAACCCUCUUCCUGCUCCUAGUUCCUCCCUCAAGUCUCAUCCCCCUUGUCAUAGGAAACACCAGCCAUGCCCUUCUGUCACUAAACCUAAACCCCGCCCACCCCCUGCUCCCAAGCACAAGCCUCGCCCUCCUACAUGUAAACCCAAGUCCAAACCUCCCCCAGAUGUUCCUCUCUGCCUUCCUUUCCCCUGCGGCCGUGAUCUACGCAAACGCUUCCUAGCCCUUCUUUCUCAACACCCUCACCCUUCUCCUACCCUUUUACACCUACACCACCUUCCUGUCACUGCCCUUCAUAAACCUCGUCUCUCGUCCAGCCUAUCUCCACAGCGCCACCUUCCUUCAGUCCGUUCAACUUGGCGCGAACCUUUCAUUGCCCCUAUACACCGCCCUCACCCUCCUCCUGGUCCCCCAGCCCGCUCUCCACGUUCUGCUGCUUCUCGGCGCCAUCUUCGGCUUUCCUCUAGUCUCUCUCCGCAACGCCACCCUCCUUCUGUCCCCUCCCGUCGGCGCCACCCUCCUACUACAUCUGUGCAGCACCCUCACCCUCCUGGUCCCCCAGCCCGCUCUCGGCGUCCUGCUGCUUCUCCGCUCUGUGCUCGCCUGCCUUCUGAUCCUGCACCCAAGCCUCGCACUCCUCCUGCUGCUCUCUCCCAGCCUCAGCCUCACCCUCCUUCUGACCCUCCUCCCAAGUCUUACCCUCAUUUUCGUUCUCCUUAUCAGUCAUUUCCUCUUUUUCUUCCACUCCAGCCUCUUGUUGCUGCGCCCCAGCCUGUCCGUCUUUCUGCUCCGUCCUUCCAGCCUCACCCUCCUCCGUAUCCUCCAUCUCAGCCCCGUGCUGCUCCUCCUCCUCACCCUCCUGACCAUGCUCACCUGCGCUCUGUACCUCGACGCUUGCCUCGCCCCCCUGCUCGUCCAUCCCAGCCUGACCGCUCCUCAGGCUCUUCCUUCCCGCCCCACCCUCGCUAA
rnacentral:lncRNA from 1 species